rnacentral:rRNA from 1 species
CCGUAACUUCGGGAGAAGGUACGCUGUUGAUGGUGAAGGAUUUACUCCGUAAGCUAUCGGCAGCCUCAGAAACUAGGCCGCUGCAACUGUUUAUUAAAAACACAGCACUCUGCAAACACGAAAGUGGACGUAUAGGGUGUGAUGCCUGCCCGGUGCUGGAAGGUUAAUUGAUGGGGUUAGCGAAAGCGAAGCUCUUGAUCGAAGCCCCAGUAAACGGCGGCCGUAACAAUAACGGUCCUAAGGUAGCGAAAUUCCUUGUCGGGUAAGUUCCGACCUGCACGAAUGGCAUAAUGAUGGCGGCGCUGUCUCCACCAGAGACUCAGUGAAAUCGAAAUCGCGGUGAAGAUGCCGUGUACCCGCGGCUAGACGGAAAGACCCCGUGAACCUUUACUGCAGCUUUGCACUGAACUUUGACCUUACUUGUGUAGGAUAGGUGGGAGGCUUUGAAGCUCGGACGCUAGUUCGAGUGGAGCCAUCCUUGAAAUACCACCCUGGUAAUGUCGAGGUUCUAACCCAGAUCCGUUAUCCGGAUCGGGGACAGUGUAUGGUGGGUAGUUUGACUGGGGCGGUCUCCUCCUAAAGAGUAACGGAGGAGUACGAAGGUGCGCUCAGCGUGGUCGGAAAUCACGCAAUGAGUAUAAAGGCAAAAGCGCGCUUAACUGCGAGACCGACAAGUCGAGCAGGUACGAAAGUAGGUCUUAGUGAUCCGGUGGUUCUGUAUGGAAGGGCCAUCGCUCAACGGAUAAAAGGUACUCUGGGGAUAACAGGCUGAUACCGCCCAAGAGUUCAUAUCGACGGCGGUGUUUGGCACCUCGAUGUCGGCUCAUCUCAUCCUGGGGCUGAAGCAGGUCCCAAGGGUAUGGCUGCUCGCCAUUUAAAGAGGUACGCGAGCUGGGUUUAGAACGUCGUGAGACAGUUCGGUCCCUAUCUACCGUGGGCGUUGGAGACUUGAGAGGAUCUGCUUCUAGUACGAGAGGACCGAAGUGGACGUACCUCUGGUGUUCGGGUUGUCACGCCAGUGGCACUGCCCGGUAGCUAUGUACGGAAGGGAUAACCGCUGAAAGCAUCUAAGCGGGAAGCCUACCUCAAGAUAAGGUCUCCCUGAGGGUUUAACCCUCCUAAAGAGCCGUUAGAGACCAUGACGUUGAUAGGUUCGGUGUGGAAGUGCGGUGACGCAUGAAGCUAACGAAUACUAAUUGCUCGUGAGGCUUGACU